UGUUUGGACCACAUACUAUAAGCAAUACAGAGUUGAUGGAGAUGUAUGAACAACCUACAGAAUGGGAGAAAAUAUUUAUACCACUUCACAGCAGUCAUUAUUAUUAAAAAGUAAAAACAAAACAAAACAAAAAAAAACAGAUAUUGGCAAGGCUGCAGAGAAAAAGGAAUGCUUAUUUGCUGUUGGUGCGAAUGUAAAUUAGUUCGGCCACUGUGGAAAGCAGUUUGGAGAUUUCUCAAAGAACUAAAAAUAGAACUACCAUUCAACCCAGCAGUCCCAUUACUGGGUAUAUACCCCCCGCCCCAAAAAAAUCAUUCUACCAAAAAGACACAUGAGCUCCUGUGUUCCUCAUAGCACUAUUCACAAUAGCAAAGACAUGGAAUCAACCUAGGUGCCCAUCAAUGGUGGAAUGGAUUAAGAAAAUGUGGUACACACACACCACAGA
rnacentral:lncRNA from 10 species